rnacentral:misc_RNA from 1 species
GUGCACUUUAUUGUGGCUCAGAACUUUUUUUCAUUUUUACCCCAAGACUUGUUUGUGUGGCAUCUUUGCCAUUGCACUCAGGUAUACGUAACAUAAAAGUGUUACAUUACCCCCUCCCCUGAUAUUUUCUUUUUUUUUGUAUUAUUAAACACAAGUGGAAUUAAGAAUGUAACAUAUAUUAUUUUUAAAU